rnacentral:rRNA from 1 species
GAACGCUAGCUACAGGCUUAACACAUGCAAGUCGAGGGGUUAGCAUGGUCUUAGCUUGCUAAGGCCGAUGGCGACCGGCGCACGGGUGAGCAACACGUAUCCAACCUGCCGUCUACUCUUGGACAGCCUUCUGAAAGGAAGAUUAAUACAAGAUGGCAUCAUGAGUCCGCAUGUUCACAUGAUUAAAGGUAUUCCGGUAGACGAUGGGGAUGCGUUCCAUUAGAUAGUAGGCGGGGUAACGGCCCACCUAGUCUUCGAUGGAUAGGGGUUCUGAGAGGAAGGUCCCCCACAUUGGAACUGAGACACGGUCCAAACUCCUACGGGAGGCAGCAGUGAGGAAUAUUGGUCAAUGGGCGCAGGCCUGAACCAGCCAAGUAGCGUGAAGGAUGACUGCCCUAUGGGUUGUAAACUUCUUUUAUAAAGGAAUAAAGUCGGGUAUGUAUACCCGUUUGCAUGUACUUUAUGAAUAAGGAUCGGCUAACUCCGUGCCAGCAGCCGCGGUAAUACGGAGGAUCCGAGCGUUAUCCGGAUUUAUUGGGUUUAAAGGGAGCGUAGAUGGAUGUUUAAGUCAGUUGUGAAAGUUUGCGGCUCAACCGUAAAAUUGCAGUUGAUACUGGAUAUCUUGAGUGCAGUUGAGGCAGGCGGAAUUCGUGGUGUAGCGGUGAAAUGCUUAGAUAUCACGAAGAACUCCGAUUGCGAAGGCAGCCUGCUAAGCUGCAACUGACAUUGAGGCUCGAAAGUGUGGGUAUCAAACAGGAUUAGAUACCCUGGUAGUCCACACGGUA